rnacentral:RNase_P_RNA from 1 species
UCGGCCAGCUGGGCGGCGGCCCUGCGAUUCUUCGCAGGGAGGAAAGUCCGGGCUCCAUUGGGCGCGGCGCCGGGUAACGCCCGGGGCGAGCGAAGGCUCGUACGGAAAGCGCAACAGAAAGGAAACCGCCCGUAGCCAAUCGGGUAAGGGUGAAAAGGCGCAGAUAAGAUCGCGCCGGUCGGCCAGCAAUGGUCGAUUGGGCAAGCCCCGCCGGGAGCAAGGCCAAAUAGGAGAGGGAUCGCGCGGCCCGCGCGCCUCUCGGGUUGGCCGCUACAGGUCCGAGCGCAAGCCGGAUCGCAGAGAGAUCGUCGCCGAACACAGAACCCGGCUUAUAGGCUGGCCGAUCCC